UCCGUGGACAGUCAGGUCUCCACUCUCUGCCUCCCCGAUGACAGUAUACCACGAAGCACCAACCUGCCUAUCCAUAUAUUCUGAUUUAAGAAUAUAAUAUAAUAUAACAUAAUAAAUAUACGUAAUAAAAUAUAGUGAUUCCUACGGUUCUCUUCCUGAAGGUGUCAGAGGUCGCCAGGGGCCCCACAGACAGGCUCCUGUAUAAAUCUCUACCUGCUCAGGAGAUUUACGGGGAUAGCUGACUGUGCAGGGGUGGGGAGGGCAGAAACCAGGAAUGGAAGAAUGACUUAUGAUUGCUGUCUACACAGGCAGGCCCUUGUUGUUGGAAAUGGCUUUCUUGUUGCUUCUGUUGUUUGAAGUCUCAACAAAUGUAGGAAUAUGAACUGGGUCUCCAUCAGGGGCUGAGGUUUUCUGAGGUGGAGAUCAUUAACAAGAAUAAUUCUUGUCCAUGCACGGUAUUUAUCACCUGUACCCUUGGCGGGGGCUGAGAAACCACCCGGUUCCAGAGAAGAGUAGUGGGCAGUGUUAGGUCAGGGUGUGAAUGACAAUCCAAAGCGAUAAUGUCACUCUGUCCUCAGCCUCGACCUCUGUCCUCAGAGAAACUGACGGUUCCUUGACCUUAACGCCACAGUGGGCGGUGGGAUUCCACAGAGGGAAAGGGCUGGGCUGUGGUCAUGGCAUCAGGAAGCCUGCGGGCAGCCUCGGCAGUAGCACAGGGACCCUGUCCAUGUGACACACGCUUGGGGGAGGUGCUGUAAUUCAGCCCCAACCCCUGGAUGGAUGGCCCCCAUUUCAGAGAGCCACUGUCCCCGGGAAAGGACCAGGUAUGGGCCUCCAGGUGCUCAGCCCACUGUGACAGUGAUGUGGGCACCCUUCAGUCCUCCAUCCUCAUCUGCUCCCGCCUGUCCCACCCAAGGGACGUACUGACUGAGCUGAGCUCCCUGAGGUCAGGCAUGGCCUGGGGCCUGGCUGCACUGCACCUUCCGAGCAAUCCCCGGCCAGUUGCUUAACCAUUUGGGGCCCCCGAAACAUGAUCACAACAGCCUUGGUAUUGCGGGUGUGAACCCCGACAGGCGGCAUGAGUCCAAGGACUUCAGAACAGCACCCCUUGCCUGGAUCCACAAGCCUGAGCUGUUGGGACUGCGUCGUCUGUCCUCAUCGCUCUCUUUUUCUGUUGCCACCCUUUGGCCUGUGUCUCUGUCCCCACAUAGCCCUCACCAAACCCUCCUCUGCUUCGGUCUUUGUCAGUUUGUCUCUGUGUUUCCCCCUCCCUCUCCUCUGGGUCCUCUGGGUCCUCUGGGUCCUCUGGGUCCUCUGGGUCUCUUUCUGUCUGGAUCUUCAUGUCUCCCGGUGUCCCUCUUCUUGGCCCUUCAAUAUUUCCUGCUAGCCUGGCCUCCUCUUUCAUUCCUCAGACUUGGAGCAUUAUGACAUCAGAGGGUUUCAAAUCCUGGGCAGGGAAACGAACUCUCCUGAAUGGUGAGCACCACCACCUUGGUGAAGCCUAAGCUCCAAAACCCAGAAUUUACUACUGCGAGUAAUCCCACCUGAAGCUAAGCCAACUCGGCAGAGCAGCCUGCGGGUCAGGAGCCUAUGGCCAGCCCUCCCAUGGAGCACUGCCAAGCCACAGCCCUCUGCUGGGUGCUAAAAAUAGGUUGUCCUGAAGACUUGGUGAGAUAACAAGGCACAAGUGCUGUCAGCUACAUUACUGUAUAGAAAUUCAAAGAUGGAAGGUCAAGACUAGGACAAGCUGAGCUGCCUUGAUUUUGUCACUCACAGAUCUGUCAAUGUUCAUGCCUUCAAGAGUCACAAUCUCAAAAAUAUGAUAGCAUUUAAUAGAAGAACCGAAGUUUUAAAUCCCUGAAGGACUGGCCUUUGGAAGAGUGUGAAAUAGCCUGUCCCACUAUCUUCAUCUACCACAAGAGAUGCGAGAGAUAAUGUAUUGAGAGCUCCCCAUUCUCACUACUCAAGAUGGCUUAGAAAAGUUUCUGCUUCUUUUGUUUUCAUGAUUUCUAUUCUACAUGACUGUGACUCCCUGUGAUUCCAUCCAGAAUCAGGAAAUCAAGGAGGACAGUGGGGAGGGAAAAUCAGAGACCAAUCAAAAUGUGACGACCUCAACAAAGGGCUAUAAUAUGACAGUGUUAAUCUAAAUAAUGCCACAGGUUAGGUCUUAUAAUCAAAAGUAGUAAAACUCCACCUUUAUAUCAAUGUUAUGCAAAUGUCUUUAGUAUUCUCUUACUUCAUAUCAAUGAGAUGUAUUUGUGUGACUAUGAUGGCCUAGUUUGUCUUCAAGGAAACCCAGAAAGGCCUCAGGGCCCAGAAACA